GAAGACUUAAGAUGGCGGCGUUUGCACGGAGUGCAAUCACUGCGUCCUUACGGGGGUUGCAAGGCGUCCGAAGUAUGAGUCCACUAACAAAAGUCCAGAAACUCGCCAGUUAAUAGUAUUGUGUCUCUUCAAAAUAUCGGAGAAUAAUUUCUUUCUCGCUGAUCGCCUAACUUCUACUGACGAAGCUUGGAAGUUGCAGAAGGUACUGGCUCCUGUAUCACCCAGCUCUGGAGUUGAAAGAGCUCUUCAUUCCUGAGUCUCCUGUACCACUGAGAAUAGGCUGGAGUGCAGUGGCGCAAUCUCGGCUCUCUGCAACCUUCACCUCCCGUGUUCAAGUGAUUCUCCUGCCUCAGCCUCCUGAAUACCUGAGAUUACAAGCAUGCACCACCACGCCCGUCUAAUUUUGUAUUUUCACUAGAGACGGGGUUUCUCCAUGUUGGUCAGGCUGGUCUCGAACUCCCGACCUCAGGUGAUCCGCCCGCCUCAGCCUCCCAAAGUGCUGGGAUUACAGGCAUGAGCCACCGCGUCCAGCAAGAAUAGGUGAUUUUCAAACUUGGAAACAUUCAGAAGUUAUCGCCUCAGUUUCAGAUUGAGUAGUCUCAAAGAGAUUACAGACAUCUACCACAAAUUCUCUACUUGGUGUGGUGCAAAAUCAGUAUGAUGUAAACUUUGUCUCUCAGUUUCUUCAAAGGAAAGAAGCAACUGGAACACACAUAUAACACUAACCCUUCCAGCUGCAUUAUGAGGGACCAGUACCUGUCUCAAGGCAAAAUUAUGACUUAGUUCAUCCUCACCUCUGGAGGCCAGUAAAAGUGGGUUAUAGAAGAAC
rnacentral:lncRNA from 1 species